ACCCGCUGAAUUUAAGCAUAUCAGUAAGCGGAGGAAAAGAAACUAACUAGGAUUCCCCGAGUAGCGGCGAGCGAAAGGGGAGAAGCCCAGCGCCGAAGCCCGCGCGCCCCAGCGCGCGGUGCAAUGUGGCGUUUCGGCGGCGACUCGAGUCGUCCCACCCUGGCGCGAGUAUCUCUGAAUGGGUCUCCCACAGCGGGUGUCAGGCCUCUAUCUGCCGGAGAGGGUGGGCGUCUCCCGUCGUCGUCGCGGAGUCGGGUUGCUUGAGAGUGCAGCCCAAAGUGGGUGGUAAGCUCCAUCUAAGGCUAAAUACCUAGUGCGAGACCGAUAGCAAACAAGUACCGUGAGGGAAAGUUGCAAAGAACUUUGAAAAGAGAGUUCAAGAGUACGUGAAACCGUUCAGAGGCAAACGGACGGAACUGGGCGAGUUCGCCGUCGUCAUUCAGCCCGCGCUCGACCGCGCGGGUGCACUUGGCGGCGGCGGAGCGCGACGACCGCCUGUCGGGUCGUCAGAAGCCCGGCGGCAAGGUGGCGACGCGUUCGCGCGUCGUGUUACAGGCCGCCGUGGCGUCGACCGACCCGGCGGGCGAGGAGCGCCUGCGGUGCACUCGGCCCGUUCGCGGRCCGAGUGGCCCGACGCGGUGGGCUUGCGGAGGCCGGCGGCGAACUGCUCGCAGUUUGCCGUGUGAGCGAGCCGUCUGUCGCGCCGCGCGGUGCCACGAUGCACCCRGGGUCCGAGUCGCGUGGUUCCCGGCACUCCGUCCGACCCGUCUUGAAACACGGACCAAGGAGUUGAGCACGCGCGCGAGUCGAUGGGCUUUGUCGAACCCCAGUGGCGUAGCUAAGGCAAAACGGGCGUGAUCCGGCACUGGCGUGUCGGCGCAACGCCGGCCCGCGGGCGACUCGCUGCGAGUGCCCGCGGUGCAAGAGCGCGCGCGCUCAGACCCGAAAGGUGGUGAACUAUGCUUGAGCAGGGCGAAGCCAGAGGAAACUCUGGUGGAGGCUCGCAGCGAUCCUGACGUGCAAAUCGGUCGUCAAACUUGAGCAUAGGGGCGAAAGACUAAUCGAACCGCCUAGUAGCUGGUUCCCUCCGAAGUUUCCCUCAGGAUAGCUGGCACUCGGGAUAAAUGGUUUUAUCCGGUAAAGCGAAUGAUUAGAGGCAUUGGGGGCGAAACGCCCUCAACCUAUUCUCAAACUUUAAAUGGGUAAGAGGCGCGACCCUUCCUGAUCGGGGUCGCGUGCUCGAACAGAGAGUGCCCAGUGGGCCGUUUUUGGUAAGCAGAACUGGCGCUGUGGGAUGAACCAAACGCUCGGUUAGGGUGCCAAACGCACGCUCAUGAGAGACCACAAAAGGUGUUGGUUGAUAUAGACAGCAGGACGGUGGCCAUGGAAGUCGGAAUCCGCUAAGGAGUGUGUAACAACUCACCUGCCGAAUCAACUAGCCCUGAAAAUGGAUGGCGCUGGAGCGUGCGACCCAUACCGGGCCGUCGGGGCAACGCGUGCGAAAUGCCAGGCCCCGACGAGUAGGAGGGCGUGUCGGUGGCGUUGAAGCGUAGUGCGCGAGCACGCGUGGAGCCGCCUUCAGUGCAGAUCUUGGUGGUAGUAGCAAGUAUACAAAUGAGAACUUUGUAGACCGAAGUGGAGAAGGGUUCCAUGUGAACAGCAGUUGGACAUGGGUCAGUCGGCCCUAARAGAUCGGGGAAUUCCAUUCUGAACGGGGGAGACGCGUCGCGUGCGGCGGCCGUCAGAGCAACGAUUCAUUGCGAGAGUGCGCGCGCGAUCAAUUGAAACAAAACCACAAAUCAAAAYRWYMMRSWRAYCSSSMRSGCRCSSGCGSRSYSUCKSCKYCUCYCSKYSKCYCNCACKCGSKYKYRSGMGGGKKKRGSRSGRSAGMRCRCRAMWSSARARMRRYSSRKWKMGSMSSSKYUMGCRCRCGYYYGCSCMCGWYKSSMYCSRAWGSGAWYSRRRKKRAAUCGGGUUAAUAUUCCCGAACCUGGCAGUGGAGAUCGGGCCCUCGGGCCCCAGUGCGGUAACGCAACCGAACUCGGAGACGCCAGCGUCGAUCCCGGGAAGAGUUCUCUUUUCUUUGUUAGGAGCGGACUCCCUGGAAUUGGCUUGUCCAGAGAUAGGGACGUUGCAUCCGUAAAGCGUCGCGCCUCACGCGGCGUCCGGUGCAUCGGCGUUGGCCCUUGAAAAUCCGAGGGAGGCAGUGUAAUUUUCACUCCAGGCCGUACCCGAAUCCGCAGCAGGUCUCCAAGGUGAACAGCCUCUGGUCGAUAGAACAAUGUAGGUAAGGGAAGUCGGCAAAUCCGAUCCGUAACUUCGGGAUAAGGAUUGGCUCUGAGGUGCGGGCUGCUUCGGGUCGCGGCAAGAAGCGGACCGUGCGUUGGUUGGACUGGGCGCGCCUCGACCGGCGCGCUCGGACCGCCGCCAGCGCGCGUCCGUGGGAGGCCGUGGCUUUCGGCGGCGCGGGCUCGCGUCCGCGUCGCCUUCGUUCGGCCUA
rnacentral:rRNA from 1 species